rnacentral:rRNA from 1 species
GUCUCCUACGGGGGGCAGCAGUGGGGGAUAUUGCACAAUGGGGGGAACCCUGAUGCAGCGACGCCGCGUGGGUGAAGAAGCGCCCCGGCGCGUAAAGCCCUGUCAGCAGGGAAGAAGAAGGACGGUACCUGACCAAGAAGCCCCGGCUAACUACGUGCCAGCAGCCGCGGUAAUACGUAGGGGGCAAGCGUUAUCCGGAUUUACUGGGUGUAAAGGGGGCGCAGACGGCGAUGCAAGCCAGGAGUGAAAGCCCGGGGCCCAACCCCGGGACUGCUCUUGGAACUGC